rnacentral:lncRNA from 1 species
CCUACUAAAUGUUGCAAGCAUUUGCUCUCCUUCCCCCAGGAGGAGGUAUCAGGUCUGCUGGAAUGAAUGUCUCAGCUUAUUCAUCACAUCUCUUUGCAGGCUGCGUUGCAUUGGCUGUAAAUGAAAUUGCUCUGCUUUUCCAAGUGGGAUACGUUACACUCCCAAGCACCUGAUCGGGGUUUUGGUAAGUGUUGGUGUUCAAGACCACUUCCCUUCACACAGAGACCACUCGUAUGCCUUGCCUUCAGUGGGCUGUGCCACCUUGCUUGGUGUGAUCCAGCUUGAGCUGCAGGCUGUGGUUACGGUGUAAGCCAGCGUGCACCGGUGCACGACCAGCUCCUUGGAGAGCCUACCUGUCAGGAGGAGAGGAAGAAUGCAUCUCUACAGCUUAUUUCCACCUUGGGCCUCAUUAUAACAAAACGAGGAUUGCCAGUUGGACCAAAGAUGAUCUGUGCUGGGAACUCUACUUCUCCGGGAGUAGAUCCAAGACCACCAACCACUGUGUGCGCAGAGCGUUUUACCAUCACAUCAUCAGAAUGAGCUGGAGACCCUUUGCUCAUGGCUGGCCUCAGACCAGGGUGCUUCAGGUGAAAGGAGAGGUGACCUGAGCUACAUGGUGAUACAAGGACUUUUGGCAACAUUACAGAAGGACACUGUUGCUUCUAGGACACGUAAAAUUACUGUUGACGACACUUGCAUUUUCCAGCUGAGGAUCUCAGUAAAUACAGGGCUGAUCAGUUAUAAAUGAACCUCUUUGCUCAGAGAGAGGAAGAGAGCACAAGGAAAGAUGACAGUUAUUGAAGGUACGAAGCAAUUUAAAUAAUUCAGUCUUUUGCUAAAAUGUUUGCAUGCAGAGCAAAACGUCUUCGUAUGAGCAGCUUCCUGUUU